GUGCCUCAAACAUGCAAGUCGAGCGUGGGUGCAUUCUCUCGCAAGAGAGAGUGCACUCUAGCGGCGAACGGGUGAGUAACACGUGGGGAACCUGCCCUCCAGACGGGGACAACCUCGGGAAACCGGGGCUAAUACCGGAUACGUUCGCCGGGUCGCAUGGCCUGGCGAGGAAAGGGUCGCAAGAUCGCUGGAGGAGGGCCCCGCGGCCUAUCAGCUUGUUGGUGGGGUAACGGCCUACCAAGGCGAUGACGGGUAGCUGGCCUGAGAGGGUGGUCAGCCACACUGGAACUGAGACACGGUCCAG
rnacentral:rRNA from 1 species